rnacentral:rRNA from 1 species
GACGUAGGAUGCGAGCGUUGUCCGGAUUUAUUGGGCGUAAAGAGCUUGUAGGCGGCUCGUCGCGUCGGGUGUGAAAACUUGCGGCUUAACCGCAAGCCUGCACCCGAUACGGGCGGGCUAGAGUUCGGCAGGGGAGACUGGAAUUCCUGGUGUAGCGGUGGAAUGCGCAGAUAUCAGGAGGAACACCGGUGGCGAAGGCGGCUCUCUAGUACGUGACUGACGCUGAGACGCGAAAGCGUGGGGAGCGAACAGG